rnacentral:rRNA from 1 species
GAUCAUGGCUCAGGAUGAACGCUAGCUACAGGCUUAACACAUGCAAGUCGAGGGGCAGCAUGAACUUAGCUUGCUAAGUUUGAUGGCGACCGGCGCACGGGUGAGUAACACGUAUCCAACCUGCCGAUGACUCGGGGAUAGCCUUUCGAAAGAAAGAUUAAUACCCGAUGGCAUAGUUCUUCCGCAUGGUAGAACUAUUAAAGAACUUCGGUCAUCGAUGGGGAUGCGUUCCAUUAGGUUGUUGGCGGGGUAACGGCCCACCAAGCCUUCGAUGGAUAGGGGUUCUGAGAGGAAGGUCCCCCACAUUGGAACUGAGACACGGUCCAAACUCCUACGGGAGGCAGCAGUGAGGAAUAUUGGUCAAUGGACGAGAGUCUGAACCAGCCAAGUAGCGUGCAGGAUGACGGCCCUAUGGGUUGUAAACUGCUUUUAUAAGGGAAUAAAGUGGGAGUCGUGACUCUUUUUGCAUGUACCUUAUGAAUAAGGACCGGCUAAUUCCGUG